CUGCUGCCUUCCGUAGGAGUCUGGGCCGUAUCUCAGUCCCAAUGUGGCCGUUCAACCUCUCAGUCCGGCUACUGAUCGUCGCCUUGGUAGGCCUUUACCCCACCAACUAGCUAAUCAGCCGCAAGCUCAUCUAUCAGCGAAUUGCUUCUUUCCCACUAACAUCAUGCGAUGUUUAUGGCAUAUGCGGUAUUAGCAGUGAUUUCUCACUGUUAUUCCCCUCUGAUAGGCAGUA
rnacentral:rRNA from 1 species